GCUUAAUUAUAUGCGAUGAAAAGGUUCAAGUUUGGGGUUGCAUGGGGGAAAUUGAAAGGCAAAUGGAAAGCAUUGAGCUCAAAUGUUGUGAAAAGAAAAAUUCAUGAGAAAAAGAAAAGAAAAGAAGAAAAGCAUGAAGAUGAGCUCAAUGAAAAAGAAAAGGGAAAAGUUGGGAAUGAGAGAAAUUGGUAAGGAAGAGAGUUGUGCUUAAUUGUUGAAUAUUUUGAUAGCUCUCUUGACUCAAGGAUUUUGCAUUCCAGAAAAACCAAUUCUUCUUAUUAGCCCAACCUCAUUACAAGCCUUGAAAAGUCCUUUUGAUGGCAUUUGCAUGUAAAGAUGUUGAUUGUUUGAGAUGAAUGGCAAUUUUGUUUCAUGUUACUUGUGAAUAUUAGAGAGUUUGAGUGUCACCUUAAACACUUGAGUGAUUGAGUGAAAUACUUGCUUGGUAUGAACUGUUAAUUUUC
rnacentral:lncRNA from 1 species